rnacentral:rRNA from 1 species
UUUCACUGAAACAAGGGGAAAGCUCAAAUGGGGUGUUGGCCCCCGAGGCAGCAGUAAAGAAUUUUGUGCAAUAUACGAAAGUAAGACACAGAGAGGGCACAUUACCUAGUCCGUCAAAUUAAGUGCCAGCAGACGCGGUGAAACUUAAGGGCUAGUCUUAUAGGCAAAAGCGUAAAGGGUGUGAUAGGCCGUUUUAUUUAAGAGAGUAAAUGGAAUUUUUCUGUAACGGUGGUAUGUGUAAAUAGGAAAAAGAACUUUAGACGUGAAGACUAUUUACUUCUAAGAUUAUAAUGUGUUGGCUAAAACACGAGAGUAUGGGGAGCAAACAGGAUUAGGUACCCUGGUAGUCCAUACUGUAAAUAAUGAAAAAGAUGUGAAGCAAUUCUAAAAGGUAAAAACUUUUCCGCUUGAGUAGUACGAUCGCAAGAUUAAAAUUCAAAAAACUUGGCUGUUCACUGUUUUGAUUAGAGGAGCGUGUCGUUUAAUUCGAUAGUCCGCGAGAGACCUUACCCAAACUUGAAUCCCUCAUUGACAGGUAUUGCAUGGCCGUCGUCAAUUUGUGUAUUAAACAUAAAACAAAUUCAACCCAGUGGUUUGUCUAUUGGAUGAAGUCAGGUCUUAUUGUCCUAAUGUUUGGGGAUUAGAUGCGCUACAUUUUUUUAUACAAUGGGAAACUUUAAGUGUGAAACCCAAAAAUAAGAGUUCGGAAGGUGCCUGUAAUAUAACGGGAAGUUGGAUUUAAUAGUAAUUGAAAAGUAGAGCGUUUCAAUGAAAUUUAUUCAGUGUUAGUACAAAUUGCCCGUCGCCUUUGCUUAGAAAGGUUGUUUGGUUGCCCCUCAAGAGGGUUCCUAAUAUCUUCGAGGUAGAGUAAGUCGUAACA